rnacentral:rRNA from 1 species
CCUACGGGUGGCAGCAGUGGGGAAUUUUGCGCAAUGCUCGAAAGCCUGACGCAGCGACGCCGCGUGAGGGAUGAAGGUCUUCGGAUCGGAAACCUCUGUCAGCAGGGAAGAACGGUAACUGUGCUAAUCAGCAGUGAAUUGACGGUACCUGCAAAGGAAGCACCGGCUAACUCCGGGCCAGCAGCCGCGGUAAUACGGAGGGUGCGAGCGUUAAUCGGAAUUACGGGGCGUAAAGAGCUCGUAGGCGGUAUGUCAAGUCAAGGGUGAAAUCCCCGCGCUCAACGUGGGAACUGCCUUUGAAACUGGCAAACUGGAGUGUGUGAGAGGAUAGUGGAAUUCCAGGUGUAGGAGUGAAAUCCGUAGAUAUCUGGAGGAACAUCAGUGGCGAAGGCGACUAUCUGGCACAUAACUGACGCUGAGGAGCGAAAGCGUGGGUAGCAAACAGGAUUAGAUACCCUAGUAGUC